AUGGUCAAAACUUAUAGGCCAGGGUCACUAUCGUCCCUAAGGGGUGAGAUUUGCCAUUUCUUCCUCUCUGUUUACUGUGUCCCUUUCCCUCUUUGCCAGAUUCCAUGUCUAUUCCCUGGAGGCUCCUGGCUGGGACUCUGUGAGUCCUGGCCCUGGCCCUCAUGGCAUCCGUGCUCUCACUGGGGGUUCUCAUGGCAAACCGAUGUUACUCUCUCUACUGCCCACAAAACUGGAUCUGAAACAGAGGGAACUGUUAUUACAUCUCUACAGAAGCCAAGACGUGGCCAGGGAGCCAAACAGCUUGUAAAAACAUGAAUUGCAGCCUUUUGAAGAUAGAAGACAGGGAGGAGUUGAAAGUGUGUCUCUCGUAUUUGAAUUUCUAAUAGUUAUUCUGGAGGUUAAAUAAGGGAGAUCAAGGCUCUGUAUUGGAAUAGUAACAUGACAUUCUCAAUUUUUGACUUCUGACCUUUCCACGGAGUGAUUGAUUUACAAUGGGCUUAUAGUAACACCAAGAAAUUUUUGACACUCCUGAUCUUUCCACUGAGAGGUUGAUUUAUAAUGAGUUCAUAAUACCACCAAGAAGGGCCACUUCCCUGGUGAAAAAAGCGAGUGGAAUCUUGGUCCUUUAUUUGUAAACACUUAAUAAAUACUACUGAAUGACUAACACGGGGACAUUGUAAGAGUCAAUGAGACAGUGAGAAUAGUGACUUAAUUCUCUUGAAUCUUCCCGUACUGAAAUGCUGGGUAUUACAGUAAUAAUUGUGAGGCAGUGAAGAUCCUCUCUUAAAAACGAGGAGUAUAAUGACGGCUGAAGAUUAUUCACAUCAUUGAUAUAACUGCAUCACACCCUGUUUUUAAGUAAGAUUUGUUUGCCUACUACUGUAAUUAGAUUUCCAGCUCCCUCGGGUUGGGAAUAUGAACUUUGUUUCUGUUUUACUCAAGAGCUUAAUAGAGUUCUCUAAACACAAGAGGUGUUCAAUGAAUAGUAGGGAUUCACUGAUGACUGGAGAAUCACUGAGAAGAGUAGCCCGGGUUCCAUUAGUGCAAGGGGUCUGAUAUGACCUUUGGGAACCCAGAGUCAGGCUAAGGGUAGAACUUGAGGAUGAUCCUGGGAAAUAGUACUAAUACAAUCAUUUUUAUUAAGCACUUACUAUUUGUGAAGCCCUUUACUGAGGGCCGGGGUAGGUACAGUGUAACCAGAUUGCCAAAGUCCAUGUCAUAACAUGCGGCUCUACAGUUGGAGAUGGAGUAAAAUCCUCAUAUUUACAGACGAGGGAACUGAGGCACAGAGAAGUUAUGUGACUUGCUCAAAAGUGGACAGCAUCCAGUGGCGGAACCUAGAUUAGAACCUUAGGAUUCCUGACAGCCAACCCCUCUCUUUCAC
rnacentral:lncRNA from 1 species